ACGGGAAUGCCACGCUGAUGCGAUUUCGGUCAAAUCAUGUGGCAUUCGAGUGGCGGACGGGUGAGUAACGCGUGGGUAACCUGCCUUACACAGGGGGAUAACACCUGGAAACAGGUGCUAAUACCGCAUAAGCGCACAGGGCCGCAUGGCCCGGUGUGAAAAACUCCGGUGGUGUAAGAUGGACCCGCGUCUGAUUAGCUUGUUGGCGGGGUAGGGGCCCACCAAGGCGACGAUCAGUAGCCGGCCUGAGAGGGUGGACGGCCACAUUGGGACUGAGACACGGCCCAAACUCCUACGGGAGGCAGCAGUGGGGGAUAUUGGACAAUGGGGGAAACCCUGAUCCAGCGACGCCGCGUGAGUGAAGAAGUAUUUCGGUAUGUAAAGCUCUGUCAGCAGGGAAGAAAGAAAUGACGGUACCUGACCAAGAAGCCCCGGCUAACUACGUGCCAGCAGCCGCGGUAAUACGUAGGGGGCAAGCGUUAUCCGGAAUUACUGGGUGUAAAGGGAGCGUAGACGGUGAUGCAAGUCUGGAGUGAAAGGCGGGGGCCCAACCCCCGGACUGCUCUGGAAACUGUGUAACUUGAGUGCAGGAGAGGUAAGCGGAAUUCCUAGUGUAGCGGUGAAAUGCGUAGAUAUUAGGAGGAACACCAGUGGCGAAGGCGGCUUACUGGACUGUAACUGACGUUGAGGCUCGAAAGCGUGGGGAGCAAACAGGAUUAGAUACCCUGGUAGUCCACGCCGUAAACGAUGAUUACUAGGUGUCGGUGGGUAUGGACCCACCGGUGCCGCAGC
rnacentral:rRNA from 1 species